CAUCAGGAUAAUUUGGUGUAAAGAUCCCACAAGAGCCUAAUGACCUAAUGUGUGCUGCUUCGCGGCUGGCAUGUAAAGUAGUAAAGCAUGUAAAGGUGCGAGAGGAUUAGUAACAGGUCAGCUUAAGUGCCCAAAGGCUGGCAGCUCUUUCCACACUAUAAUACAAACAAUUCACCGCUUCUCCCUUCCCCCCUCCCCUGCUCCAUCUUAAGUGGGGUUUCUGGCUUGCUCUAAGGCUUUUCGUCCUAUUCCACUCACUGGUAGCAGCUGGAAAUCUUUCGUCAGGUAGGUCCAGGAGGGGCUGGGUAAAGAACCGCCGGAUGAAGUUCAGCCCGCGUGGAUUUUGGCCUAGUGGUUGCCAAGGUUGAUGAUUAUGGGGCUAGGAAAUUGAGGGGAGGACCGACAGGGCUUACUUGGGGCCAUGACAAAGAGGAAGUCGACUGCAAACCAGACUCCAGAUCCAGUGAAGCGAAGAUGGUGGAUAUAGAAGCUCACCUUGACAACCCAUCAUCGAGGCGGACCUCCGAGCUGCCUAGGCGAUCUCUGCUCUGGAUCAGUAUGUUCUACGACAGAUUCUGAAGGACCACCUGAGUGAUGUCACCGGAGUCCGUUUCAAGAGUGGGAGCCUUGCCAGACUAAAGGCAGUCAGUGCUCUUAACUGCUGAGCCAUCUUUCCAGCCUGAUUAAAAUUGUUUCUAAGGCUUCCCCAUUUUAAUGUACUUAUUGUAAAUAUUUUAAUCAUUAAAGGAGGAUGUAGGACUGGGAGAGCUCAGUCAACAGUGCUGGGUCGCUGUGGAGAAGAUGCUGAAUUCCAUCCCAGCAUAGCAUAAACUGUGUGGUACUUCAGGCCUGUAAUCCCAGCACUAGGAAGGUGGAGGCAGGAGGAUCAGAAGCCAGCCUGGACUACAUAAGACCUUAUCUUAAAACUAAAAGAAGUGGGCUGGAGAGAUGGCUCAGUGGUUAACAGCACCCGACUGCUCUUCCAGAGUUCAUGAGUUCAAUUCCCAGCAACCGCAUGGUGGCUCACAACCAUCUGUAAAGAGAUCUGAUGCCCCCUUCUGGUGUAUCUGAAGACAGCUACAGUGUACUUAUAUAUAUAAUAAAUAAAAUAAAUCUUAAAAAAAA
ensembl:lncRNA